AUGGCCGCGUCGGCGCUGCACCAGACGACCAGCUUCCUCGGCACCGCCCCGCGGCGUGAUGACCUCGUCCGCAGCGUCGGCGACUUCGGCGGCCGCAUCACCAUGCGCCGGACCGUCAAGAGCGCGCCCCAGAGCAUCUGGUACGGCCCUGACCGUCCCAAGUACCUGGGCCCGUUCUCCGAGCAGACCCCGUCGUACCUGACCGGCGAGUUCCCCGGCGACUACGGGUGGGACACCGCCGGAUUGUCGGCUGACCCAGAGACCUUCGCCAAGAACCGGGAGCUGGAGGUGAUCCACUCACGGUGGGCGAUGCUCGGCGCCCUGGGGUGCGUGUUCCCGGAGAUCCUGUCCAAGAACGGCAUCAAGUUCGGCGAGGCCGUGUGGUUCAAGGCCGGUGCCCAGAUCUUCUCCGAGGGCGGCCUCGACUACCUGGGCAACCCCAACCUGGUGCACGCGCAGAGCAUCCUCGCCAUCUGGGCGGUUCAGGUGGUGCUCAUGGGCUUCAUCGAGGGUUACCGCGUUGGUGGCGGCCCCCUCGGCGAGGGCCUCGACAUCAUCUACCCAGGCGGCGCCUUCGACCCACUUGGCCUCGCCGACGACCCCGACACCGCAGCUGAGCUCAAGGUCAAGGAGCUCAAGAACGGCCGCCUCGCCAUGUUCUCCAUGUUCGGCUUCUUCGUGCAGGCCAUCGUCACCGGAAAGGGGCCCGUAGAGAACCUCUUCGACCACGUCGCCGACCCGGUCAACAACAACGCGUGGGCCUUCGCCACCAACUUCGCCCCCGGAAGCUAA
rnacentral:rRNA from 1 species